CAGCAGCCGCGGUAAUACGUAGGUCCCGAGCGUUGUCCGGAUUUAUUGGGCGUAAAGCGAGCGCAGGCGGUUAGAUAAGUCUGAAGUUAAAGGCUGUGGCUUAACCAUAGUACGCUUUGGAAACUGUUUAACUUGAGUGCAGAAGGGGAGAGUGGAAUUCCAUGUGUAGCGGUGAAAUGCGUAGAUAUAUGGAGGAACACCGGUGGCGAAAGCGGCUCUCUGGUCUGUAACUGACGCUGAGGCUCGAAAGCGUGGGGAGCAAACAGGAUUAGAUACCCCAGUAGUCCCUGUCUCUUAUACC
rnacentral:rRNA from 1 species